rnacentral:tRNA from 1 species
GGUUUGGUUAGCUCAGUCGGAUAGAGCGUGGUGCUGAUAACACCAAGGUCGUGGGUUUGAUCCCCUUUCGGUCCC